GCCGGAGUGGCGGAAUGGCAGACGCGCCGGACUCAAAAUCCGGUCCUCGCAAGAGGGUGUGGGUUCAACUCCCACCUCCGGCACUA
rnacentral:tRNA from 1 species